UAAGUUCAAGGACGAUUGUCAAAAUUUAUCCCGAUAGUGAGCCCUUACUAGUAUGAAGCAAAAGCCCAAAACCACAGUAACCAAAAGCUAGGAAUUCAGAUACUAACAACAGCAGGUGCAAAAAUGAAUUCAGAUUGUCUAUUGAAAUCCUGCUACACCAGUGAGAUUGCUGCUGAAAUGCAUAUGCGAGGAUAGAGGCGAAAGAUGACAAGGCGAAGGAGGAGAACCAUGAAUCCAGCACUUGAGAUCACAAAAACUUUACUAGCCCAGAGUGGAGCAUCUCCUACAAACCUAGACUGAUCUGCUUGAAAUUAGAAUGAACACUCCCAUCAAAAGAGAAUACAAAACAGAAUAAG
rnacentral:misc_RNA from 1 species